rnacentral:sRNA from 1 species
AUCUAAACCGGAUUGAAACGGCAUCCUUUUUUGUUUUGCAGAUUUUAAUGAAGCAGGCACUUCAACAAAAAAGAUUUAGUGUAAAGCCGGACAAAUA